rnacentral:RNase_P_RNA from 1 species
CGAGUUGGCUGGGUGAUCGCGGCAUGAAAGUGUCGAGGAAAGUCCGGGCUCCUUAGAGCAAGGUGGUGGGUAACACCCACCCGGGGCGACCCGCGGGACAGUGCCACAGAAAUUAGACCGCCUCGAGCAAUCGAGGUAAGGGUGAAACGGUGGUGUAAGAGACCACCAGCGCGGUAGGUGACUAUCGCGGCUAGGUAAACCCCAC